rnacentral:tRNA from 1 species
AGAAAUAGUUCAAUUAGGAGAGCUUUAGACUAUAGAUCGAAAAGUUCCUGGUACGAUCCCGGGUACAUUUUA